UUUAAAACAACAGCAAAAGCCAGCAUCGAAUGCUCUGACACAAGACCCCUGCCACCAGAAUGCAACAAACCCUGUUGCAAGGGGUAUGAUAAAGAAAGUUUUUUAUUCAGACCUGUUUUGCAUGGCUGCAGCAUGGAGUGUUGUAAUUUUAACGAUGAUGUGCAGAGUACUUACCGGACAGUAUGUGAAACAGCGAAUGAUGCUUCAUUAUCGCCCUGCAAUAACUCCAAAAUAAUAACUCCUAGACAGCAAACUCUUCAAGACACCCCGAUUUUAUAUUCCAGUGCUAUUUGCUGCGGUCAUAAAGCUUCUGCAGAUUUUUAUGAUCUAGACUAUAACUGGGGUUGUGAGCUAUCCCAGAGAUCACGAUAUCUAAACAGUGAGUUAAAGAGUUGCAAUCUGUGUAAAGACUGGUUUGCUUGCAGCUGCGGACAUGAUUUGUGGAAUACAGACUCAACGAAUUCUAAAAUAGCAUGUUAUGCACCUCUAUAUUCUGCUUCUGAUAGUGAUGAUGAGGGAUAUUUUUCUGAUGGAGGGGGCAUAACCCUCUGAACUCUGUAUAGUCAAUAAAAGAUUGUGUUAAUGUCAA